rnacentral:rRNA from 1 species
AUUGAACGCUGGCGGCAGGCCUAACACAUGCAAGUCGAGCGAGCGGCGGACGGGUGAGUAAUGUAUGGGGACUGCCCGAUAGAGGGGGAUAACUACUGGAAACGGUGGCUAAUACCGCAUACUAUCGGAUAACCCAUAUGGGAUUAGCUAGUAGGUGGGGUAAAGGCUCACCUAGGCGACGAUCGCGAGCUGGUCGGAGUGGAUGAUCAGCCACACUGGGCCUGAUGUACUGCCCUGACUCCUACGGAGGCAGCAGUGGGGAAUAUUGCUCAAUGGGCGCGAGCCUGAUGCAGCCAUGCCGCUUGUAUGAAGAAGGCCUUAGGGUUGUAGAGUACUUUCAGCGGGGAGGCGUUACCCUCAGAAGAAGCACCGGCUAACUCCGUGCCAGCAGCCGCGGUAAUAC